UUAAUGGUGUUUUUAAACACCACCAAUGACAUUUUGACACUUCAGU
rfam:Cephalotus follicularis DNA, scaffold: scaffold135, isolate: St1.